ensembl:lncRNA
CAGCAUGCCACAGUGUGAAUAAGCAAAAGCUUUUGAGUAUGCUGUAAUUGUUUGGAAUGAGAACCACUCAUGAAGUAACUAUGAGAAUAAGCUGGGAUCACAAGAGUAACAGCUAGGCUAAAAUACUUGAAAACUCUCUCAAAGUGGCGUGGUCACUGGAUAAUAGUGCAUGAAUAAUUGAAGUAAAUGUGAGCAGACAUGAGUUGGUUGGGCUGACAAACGAGCGGCGCGUGCUCGUUUCGUUUUGUGUUGUGACGUAGCCUACUGUAAUUCGGCUGCUGCGAACGCGUUCGAGCUUGUAUGGUAGUGUGGCACCUGUGUGACCACACUUUAUCCAACUUGAGAACUGCGUAUCUAUCUAAUAACUAUGAAUUACGUAUUUAUGUUUUCCACAACUUGAAAUGUAAGAGACAUGCGCUCAAACUUGCGGCUCAGAGGUUGGAAGUGCUCUUAUCAGUCGACUCCCAACAUUAAUGAGGCAGUGGAUAAUGAGCAUUGCUGGCACCAAAAUGCCAUGACACCAUGGAGGAGUCUGAGGACUAGAUUGGAGCACCCAGGGAGAGGAAGGCGAACACCCCCAUUUUUAUCUGGCUCUACAUCAUUUGAUGAACCUUGGAGAUCAGAAAACACAUCUAGUCCUUUUUUAUUCCUGGGCCGGACACGCAGUGUCCCUGAAGAUCUUCAUUGCUACAGUAGACCCACUUUACGGUCAAGCUUCUCCUCGAUCACCAUCACCGCUCAGAGUUUGUCUCCUAAAAGGGAUUGUACAGCUUAUUUAAACUCAACCUUUCGUCCUCCGAACAUGCCUGACAGACCGCCCUCUCUCAUGGCCCACAGAGAAAAUAAAACCCUAGAAAUCAUUGUUGGCACUCCGGUGCCUCCUAGACACAAGACAGUUGUGGUGACGGUGACCGAGAACAGAGAACAGCAUUGUGCCAGCGAGACCCCCAGCAGUUCCCAAGCUCCACCAGUCCAUGAGCACAGCUACACAGAGGAAGAAGACCAAACAGACUCUUUGCCCUCUUUAAAACGUCAUAUCUUCCGCUCCUGUGCCCAUCUGGAGCUCCUGCCGUCCAAGCUUUCCAGAUCUACUCUGUACUUGGACAAAUCCCUCUCAAUCCCUCUUGGACAGACUUUGUAUAGAUCCACUCUGUCCCUUUCCUUUGGAAAACCAUCUUUUACUCAGACCCCUGAGAAACCCAAAAUGAUGAUUCAAACUAAAAGUUCUUACAGUAACUGGGACAUGGCGAACACUGGCAUUGAUGGAACAGAAAGGCUGUCCCAGCAACCGAAGAAUGGUUCAACCAUCAAUGGCAGUCCCUUUAAAAAUAAUACUAGCUUCGGCUCUGACACGCUGUAUUCCACUUUAACAUCAUUGCCAUUCAGAACAAGGUGCCACUCAUCUUCUGCUGCCUUCAGACUGAAUGGAAAGGCUAAUGAUGUCUUAGGGCCUUCGCAGAGAAAUCCAAGAGCCAGACAGGCAUUCAGCGAGCCAUCAGGAGUCCCUCAGGUGCAUCUAAGGGCCCCUCAUGAGGUCAGAACAGUGUUCCACACUGCUGAGAAAGUCAGGAGACCCAUUGAGUACCCGGUUUCUCCUCAUCUAACUAACUGUACCUGUAGGUCCAAGACUGACCAGAAGGACACAGGACACCUGUCACUUAGCUUGAGGGUAUGGUUUUACUGGAGGAAUCUGGCUACCAUCAGGUUUUCCUUAGGGUUUGUUCAGACAGGCAGAAAACAACAGAUUUAUUGGGGCAUAUCUGACUCAAAUGUUUUUUUUUUAUUUUUUUAAUCUGAACUGCAAAGAUAUUUGCAAACCAUUAUAAACACAUCCACAUGUCGUUUCAAUUAGUAAAUUAUUUACUUGAAAAAUAUUGAUACUGAUAAGCUAAUAAUUAUCCUCAUGUUAUGACUGAUAUUAAAAUUCUAUACUAAUGUUUUAUCUGAUUUUUUUUUAAAGUAAAAUACUAAAAAUAAAAUUCAAUUGUUUUAAAUGCUACA